GGCAGGAGGAGAGGAUGCACAACAGCUGAUGAAACCAUGUGACCCGUGACCCUGAUAAAUGUGAAGAAAUGUGAAGUUGAGUCGUCUCAACUUUGAUUAAAGUGGCGAACAAAACCUUGGUGUACAUUCUCGGUAUUGUGUAGGGGCAAGUCUAUCUGCUGUCAGAAGUCUGUCUUCCAUUCCACAUUCUUCAUCAUUUGCAUCAUUUAAGAUGAAGUGCAGUGAUAAAACGUGCUGGAGAACAGUUUGGACGAGUUAUUGUUAUGAAUAUAAUUGAUCAGCAUUUGAAUGCAGUCAGACAUUACAUCUCAUACAAGAAAACCUUCUCUAAGUGGGGUAUCACGUUUACGCUCGUGAGAAGGAUUGCGAAUGGAGCCAUGCCCUGGUUCCUGUUCCAGUGAUUCUGAAAGCUAUGCUGGCCUAGAGGUUCUCAUGCCAGAUUGGUUUCAUUUGAGGGACCAGACUAAGAAACCCCACAUUAAGAUCAAUUUGACAGCAAUAUGACCUA